rnacentral:rRNA from 1 species
AUUGAACGCUGGCGGCAGGCCUAACACAUGCAAGUCGAGCGGUAGCACAGAGAGCUUGCUCUCGGGUGACGAGCGGCGGACGGGUGAGUAAUGUCUGGGAAACUGCCUGAUGGAGGGGGAUAACUACUGGAAACGGUAGCUAAUACCGCAUAACGUCGCAAGACCAAAGUGGGGGACCUUCGGGCCUCAUGCCAUCAGAUGUGCCCAGAUGGGAUUAGCUAGUAGGUGGGGUAACGGCUCACCUAGGCGACGAUCCCUAGCUGGUCUGAGAGGAUGACCAGCCACACUGGAACUGAGACACGGUCCAGACUCCUACGGGAGGCAGCAGUGGGGAAUAUUGCACAAUGGGCGCAAGCCUGAUGCAGCCAUGCCGCGUGUGUGAAGAAGGCCUUCGGGUUGUAAAGCACUUUCAGCGGGGAGGAAGGCGRURAGGUUAAUAACCUYRYCGAUUGACGUUACCCGCAGAAGAAGCACCGGCUAACUCCGUGCCAGCAGCCGCGGUAAUACGGAGGGUGCAAGCGUUAAUCGGAAUUACUGGGCGUAAAGCGCACGCAGGCGGUCUGUCAAGUCGGAUGUGAAAUCCCCGGGCUCAACCUGGGAACUGCAUUCGAAACUGGCAGGCUAGAGUCUUGUAGAGGGGGGUAGAAUUCCAGGUGUAGCGGUGAAAUGCGUAGAGAUCUGGAGGAAUACCGGUGGCGAAGGCGGCCCCCUGGACAAAGACUGACGCUCAGGUGCGAAAGCGUGGGGAGCAAACAGGAUUAGAUACCCUGGUAGUCCACGCUGUAAACGAUGUCGAUUUGGAGGUUGUGCCCUUGAGGCGUGGCUUCCGGAGCUAACGCGUUAAAUCGACCGCCUGGGGAGUACGGCCGCAAGGUUAAAACUCAAAUGAAUUGACGGGGGCCCGCACAAGCGGUGGAGCAUGUGGUUUAAUUCGAUGCAACGCGAAGAACCUUACCUGGUCUUGACAUCCACAGAACUUUCCAGAGAUGGAUUGGUGCCUUCGGGAACUGUGAGACAGGUGCUGCAUGGCUGUCGUCAGCUCGUGUUGUGAAAUGUUGGGUUAAGUCCCGCAACGAGCGCAACCCUUAUCCUUUGUUGCCAGCGGUYMGGCCGGGAACUCAAAGGAGACUGCCAGUGAUAAACUGGAGGAAGGUGGGGAUGACGUCAAGUCAUCAUGGCCCUUACGACCAGGGCUACACACGUGCUACAAUGGCAUAUACAAAGAGAAGCGACCUCGCGAGAGCAAGCGGACCUCAUAAAGUAUGUCGUAGUCCGGAUUGGAGUCUGCAACUCGACUCCAUGAAGUCGGAAUCGCUAGUAAUCGUAGAUCAGAAUGCUACGGUGAAUACGUUCCCGGGCCUUGUACACACCGCCCGUCACACCAUGGGAGUGGGUUGCAAAAGAAGUAGGUAGCUUAACCUUCGGGAGGGCGCUUACCACUUUGUGAUUCAUGACUGGGGUG